rnacentral:rRNA from 1 species
CAAUAGCGUAUAUUAAAGUUGUUGCGGUUAAAAAGCUCGUAGUUGGAUUUCUGCUGAAGGCAGCCGGUCCAUGUUCGACAUGCGCAUCUGGAUUGACUUCGGCAUCCUCUCAGAUAACGAUUCUGUGCUUGAUUGCAUGGAGCGGAGUUUGAGACUUUUACUUUGAGGAAAAUAGAGUGUUCACGGCAGGCAAUCGCCCUGAAUAUAUUAGCAUGGAAUAAUAAAAUAGGAUCUUGGUUCUAUUUUGUUGGUUUCUAGAACGAAGAUAAUGAUUAAUAGGGACAAUUGGGGGCAUUCGUAUUAACGCGUCAGAGGUGGAAUUCUUGGAUUGCGUUACGACGAACUACUGCGAAAGCAUUCGCCAAGGAUGUUUUCAUUGA